rnacentral:piRNA from 2 species
GUUCAUGUCCCUGUUCAGGCGCCA